UCAGGUGUAGCUCAGUGAUGGAGCACUUGCCUAGCAUGUACAAGGCCUUGGGUUUGAUUCCCAGCACCACAA
rnacentral:tRNA from 1 species